rnacentral:lncRNA from 1 species
GGGGUGUUGAUUGUCGCUAGACUGAACAUGAGCCAGCAGUGUGCCCAGGUGGCCAAGAAGGCCAAUGGCAUCCUGGCUUGUAUCAGAAAUAGUGUGGCCAGCAGGAACAGGGAAGUAAACCCUGUACUCAGCACUGGUGAGGGCGCAACUUGAGUACUGUGUCUGGUUUUGGGCCCCUCACUGUAAGAAAGACAUCGAGGCCCUGGAGCGUGCUCAGGGGAGACCUUAUUGCUCUCUAUAACUACCUGAAGGGAGGUUGUAGUGAGCUGGGGGUCAGCCUCUUCUCUCAUGUGACUAGUGAUAGGACUAGAAGGAAGGGCUUCAAGCUGCACCAGGGAAGAUUCAGGCUGGACGUUAGGAAAUACUACUUCUCUGAAAGGGUGGUCAGGCACUGGAAUGGGCUGCCCAGAGAGGUGGUGGAGUCACCGAGCCUGGUGGUGUUCAAAGAGCGUUUGGAUGUUGUGUUGAGGGACAUGGUUUAGCGAGAACCAUUGGUGAAGGGCGAAUGGUUGGACUGGAUGAUCCUGUGGGUCUUUUCCAACCUUAGCGAUUCUAUAAUUCUAUGAAAAGCUCUAAAUCUCAUAAGAGCUCUUCUGUUGAUAGUACGUGAGAUGGUGCAAGACCUACUUCUUGCAAAAAGAUAAAGUUAUUCCACAGAGAUAGGAAUUAGGCAAAUAAGCAGUAGUAUACUCUGUUCUAGAAAGUCUAACUUUCUGCUCUGUUACUUGGUUUUCAGCCCUGUAAAUGAUGUACAAAGGUCUUUACAAAGUAAAGAAAUGAUAGAUCGAUCCUGUGAAUUCAGGUUUUGUUUGUUUUUUUUUUACUUGGCUCAAAAUUGGUUAACUUGCAAAUGUCUUAUACGGGAAAAGAAUAUAUGUAAGAGCUGUUAAAAUGGCCAAAAAAUGCAAACAGUUGUUUUAAGCCAAGGACUUUGUUGAACACAUUAUUUUCAGACAAUUAAU